GUGGGGACAGGAGGGACAGUCACACUUCCAGCCCCUGGCAUGGCCCUCACGUGCCCAGGAGAAGGCCGGAGAAGCUGGAGCCACUCUGGAUGGCUGGCAGAAAACUGGAAGAUGGCAGUCAUUGGAGCUGUGAACCGGCCGGAGGCCAGGCUCAAGCCAGACCCCCGCAGGAAGGCGCCCUGGGCAGCGGGCUGGAGGGAUAGCAGGUGAACAGCCGGCUACAGGGCCUGGGCCCUCAUCUCGCACAUCCACCCUGGGGGAGGCGUCUGUGACCAACAGCCGCCACCCCAAGCAGACCCCAGCAAUCUCUACACCCAACGUGGGGCUCAAACCCACAACCACGAGAUGAAGAGUCGCCUGCUCUUCCAACUGGGCCAGCCAGGCACCCCAAGGUCAUCUUUUACCUCGGGUCACUUCAGAUAGCACGCCACCUUG